UGGAAGGUGGUGCCAGGCUCUGUGGUUUGGACUGGUCCUACGAGCGAAACAAUAGAAGAGGCUAACCAUCUGCAGAAGAGAAAAGAGGAAGGGAAACUCAGCCUGAGACACAAAGAGGAAGUGUAGGAGACAGAGGUGCUACAGUGGACGAGGUCCUAGUCCCACCCCUGUUACUACAGCCUUGCAGACUACUGCCUGCCCACCAGCAGGAUGCCACGUUUGUAAGGUACCCACCAAGCUCCCAAGUGGGUUGGCACAUAGUGCAGGCUGGAGAGUGAGCAGGAUGCGUGAACCACGUCUUAUCUCUGUGGGAUCCUCUUCUUACACAUUGUCUUCAUCAGCAGGCUUCUGGUGAAAGACAGGGAUGGCAAGUGACUGAAACCCAAGGUGAUGAUCCAUUGGCUUCCCCCAAAUCAAGGAGGGGCAACUCACCAAGCCAUGACAGGCAUGACACUGCUGCUGGGCCUCACAAAUGGUCUGGAACCAAGGGAUGGGUCCGUGAUAUUCUUCCUGGCAGAAAAGGCGGACAUCAACUUGCACAAGAUGGGCAAACUGAGACCCCGAGCCCUGGAGAGAUGUGCUCAGGCAGAUGUGCAGGUCCCCCUGCUCCAGCUUCCAGGCUCCCAGGCUUCAGUCUUCAGUCUUCAGUCGGCCUUUGUUCUGCCACUUUCUCCUGGAAGUCACACCUCCCUCUCUUCCUGCCUGCCACAUCACAGGAGUCUGCACGCCCCCAACCAGCUCAAGAGGCUCUGACAGGUAUGAGUUUGUUGUUUUUGUUGUCUUUUUUUAAAACAGCCUGUGACUUUGCCUUUGUCUAAACAGAGCAGCAGCGAAGACAAAGAACCUGUAAGGCUUCCUUGUCCCUCUGCCAAGCGCUGCCUCUGGUCAGCCAGAGCCACCAACUCUGUUAUCUUUUCUGCUGGAGGCGGUAAGGGCAGGCCCAGCGCUGGGGCUCACCAGGGCCUCUUACUGGUUUUCUCAGCUCUGAUUCUGG
rnacentral:lncRNA from 1 species